GAAUACUCAUCGGGGAGCUAAAUCAAUAACUGAUUUGGCUGAGAUCUUUUUUAAGAGACCCGUGAACCUGAACCAGAUAAUGCUGGCGUAGGAAUUGAGUCUGGAAUUCCC
rnacentral:ncRNA from 2 species